rnacentral:misc_RNA from 1 species
GAAAUGCGAUAAGUAAUGUGAAUUGCAGAAUUCAGUGAAUCAUCGAAUCUUUGAACGCACAUUGCGCCCGCCAGUAUUCUGGCGGGCAUGCCUGUUCGAGCGUCAUUACAACCCUCAGGCCCCCGGGCCUGGCGUUGGGGAUCGGCGGAAGCCCCCUGCGGGCACAACGCCGUCCCCCAAAUACAGUGGCGGUCCCGCCGCAGCUUCCAUUGCGUAGUAGCUAACACCUCGCAACUGGAGAGCGGCGCGGCCACGCCGUAAAACACCCAACUUCUGAAUGGUGACCUCGAAUCAGGUAGGAAUACCCGCUGAACUUAAGC